CUGAAGAGUUUGAUCCUGGCUCAGAUUGAACGCUGGCGGGAUGCUUUACACAUGCAAGUCGGACGGCAGCACGGGCUUCGGCCUGGUGGCGAGUGGCGAACGGGUGAGUAAUGUAUCGGAACGUGCCCAGUAGCGGGGGAUAACUACGCGAAAGCGUGGCUAAUACCGCAUACGCCCUACGGGGGAAAGCGGGGACCUUCGGGCCUCGCACUAUUGGAGCGGCCGAUAUCGGAUUAGCUAGUUGGUGGGGUAACGGCCUACCAAGGCGACGAUCCGUAGCUGGUUUGAGAGGACGACCAGCCACACUGGGACUGAGACACGGCCCAGACUCCUACGGGAGGCAGCAGUGGGGAAUUUUGGACAAUGGGGGCAACCCUGAUCCAGCCAUCCCGCGUGUGCGAUGAAGGCCUUCGGGUUGUAAAGCACUUUUGGCAGGAAAGAAACGGCACGGGCUAAUAUCCUGUGCAACUGACGGUACCUGCAGAAUAAGCACCGGCUAACUACGUGCCAGCAGCCGCGGUAAUACGUAGGGUGCAAGCGUUAAUCGGAAUUACUGGGCGUAAAGCGUGCGCAGGCGGUUCGGAAAGAAAGAUGUGAAAUCCCAGGGCUUAACCUUGGAACUGCAUUUUUAACUACCGGGCUAGAGUGUGUCAGAGGGAGGUGGAAUUCCGCGUGUAGCAGUGAAAUGCGUAGAUAUGCGGAGGAACACCGAUGGCGAAGGCAGCCUCCUGGGAUAACACUGACGCUCAUGCACGAAAGUGUGGGGAGCAAACAGGAUUAGAUACCCUGGUAGUCCACGCCCUAAACGAUGUCAACUAGCUGUUGGGGCCUUCGGGCCUUGGUAGCGCAGCUAACGCGUGAAGUUGACCGCCUGGGGAGUACGGUCGCAAGAUUAAAACUCAAAGGAAUUGACGGGGACCCGCACAAGCGGUGGAUGAUGUGGAUUAAUUCGAUGCAACGCGAAAAACCUUACCUACCCUUGACAUGUCUGGAAUCCCGAAGAGAUUUGGGAGUGCUCGCAAGAGAACCGGAACACAGGUGCUGCAUGGCUGUCGUCAGCUCGUGUCGUGAGAUGUUGGGUUAAGUCCCGCAACGAGCGCAACCCUUGUCAUUAGUUGCUACGAAAGGGCACUCUAAUGAGACUGCCGGUGACAAACCGGAGGAAGGUGGGGAUGACGUCAAGUCCUCAUGGCCCUUAUGGGUAGGGCUUCACACGUCAUACAAUGGUCGGGACAGAGGGUUGCCAACCCGCGAGGGGGAGCCAAUCCCAGAAACCCGGUCGUAGUCCGGAUCGCAGUCUGCAACUCGACUGCGUGAAGUCGGAAUCGCUAGUAAUCGCGGAUCAGCAUGUCGCGGUGAAUACGUUCCCGGGUCUUGUACACACCGCCCGUCACACCAUGGGAGUGGGUUUUACCAGAAGUAGUUAGCCUAACCGCAAGGGGGGCGAUUACCACGGUAGGAUUCAUGACUGGGGUGAAGUCGUAACAAGGUAGCCGUAUCGGAAGGUGCGGCUGGAUCACCUCCUUU
rnacentral:rRNA from 1 species